rnacentral:rRNA from 1 species
CCAUGCCGUAAACGAUGAGCACUAGGUGUCGGGCAAAAGCUCGGUGCCGGCGUAAACACAAUAAGUGCUCCGCCUGGGGAGUACGUUCGCAAGAAUAAAACUCAAAGGAAUUGACGGGGACCCGCACAAGUAGCGGAGCAUGUGGUUUAAUUCGAAGCAACGCGAAGAACCUUACCUAAGCUUGACAUACCUUUGCAAGAUAAUCGUAAAGAUAAUCCCUGUACUCGUACACAAAGGAUACAGGUGGUGCAUGGUUGU